rnacentral:rRNA from 1 species
CCUACGGGUGGCAGCAGUGGGGAAUAUUGCACAAUGGGGGAAACCCUGAUGCAGCGACGCCGCGUGAGUGAAGAAGUAUCUCGGUAUGUAAAGCUCUAUCAGCAGGGAAGUAAAUGACGGUACCUGACUAAGAAGCCCCGGCUAACUACGUGCCAGCAGCCGCGGUAAUACGUAGGGGGCAAGCGUUAUCCGGAUUUACUGGGUGUAAAGGGGGCGCAGACGGCAUGGCAAGCCAGGAGUGAAAGUCCGGGGCCCAACCAAGGGACUGGUAUUGGAACUGUAAGCCUGGAGUACAGGGGGGGCAGGGGGAAUUCGGGGGGUAGCGGGGAAAUGCGGAGAUAGCAGGAAGAACCCCGAGGGGGAAGGCAGCCUCCUAAACUGUCACUGACUUUGAGGCCCGAAGGUGGGGGUAAAAAACAGGAUUAGAAACCCUAGUAGUC